CCUACGGGAGGCAGCAGUGGGGAAUAUUGGACAAUGGGCGAAAGCCUGAUCCAGCAAUGCCGCGUGAGUGAUGAAGGCCUUAGGGUUGUAAAGCUCUUUUACCAGGGAUGAUAAUGACAGUACCUGGAGAAUAAGCUCCGGCUAACUCCGUGCCAGCAGCCGCGGUAAUACGGAGGGAGCUAGCGUUGUUCGGAAUUACUGGGCGUAAAGCGUGCGUAGGCGGUGAUUCAAGUCAGAGGUGAAAGCCUGGAGCUCAACUCCAGAACGGCCUUUGAAACUAGAUCGCUAGAAUUAUGGAGAGGUAAGUGGAAUUCCGAGUGUAGAGGUGAAAUUCGUAGAUAUUCGGAAGAACACCAGUGGCGAAGGCGACUUACUGGACAUAUAUUGACGCUGAGGUACGAAAGCGUGGGGAGCAAACAGGAUUAGAUACCCUGGUAGUCCACGCCGUAAACGAUGAUAACUAGCUGUUCGGGCUCUCAGAGCUUGAGUGGCGCAGCUACGCAUUAAGUUAGUCCGCCGUGGGAGGUACGGUCGGCGAGAAGUUAAACUACGUUAAGAAGUAGAGGCGUGNGACGNGCGAGGACGACGACGAGGGAGGAGG
rnacentral:rRNA from 1 species